AUUGAACGCUGGCGGCAGGCCUAACACAUGCAAGUCGAACGAGUGGCGGACGGGUGAGUAGUGUCUGGGAAACUGCCUGAGGGAGGGGGAUAACUACUGGAAACGGUAGCUAAUACCGCAUACCAUCAGAUGUGCCCAGAUGGGAUUAGCUAGUGGGUGGGGUAACGGCUCACAAAGGCGACGAUCCCUAGCUGGUCUGAGAGGAUGACCAGCCACACUGGAACUGAGGCACGGUCCAGACUCGUACGGGAGGCAGCAGUGGGGAAGAUUGCACAAUGGGCGCAAGCCUGAUGCAGCCAUGCCGCGUGUAUGAAGAAGGCUUUCGGGUUGUAAAGUACUUUCAGCGGAGAGGCGUUACCCGCAGAAAAAGCACCGGCUAACUCCGUGCCAGCAGCCGCGGUAAUUC
rnacentral:rRNA from 1 species